rnacentral:rRNA from 1 species
CCUACGGGAGGCAGCAGUGGGGAAUGUUGCACAAUGGGGGAAACCCUGAUGCAGCCACGCCGCGUGAGUGAAGAAGUAUCUCGGUAUGUAAAGCUCUAUCAGCAGGGAAGCAGAAAGACGGUACCUGACUAAGAAGCCCCGGCUCACUACGUGCCAGCAGCCGCGGUAAUACGUAGGGGGCACGCGUUAUCCGGAUUUACUGGGGGUAACGGGAGCGUAGACGGCUGUGGAAGUCUGAAGGGAACGCCCGUGGCUCAAACGCGGAACUGCUUUGGAAACUGUAGAGCUAGAGUACUGGAGAGGCAGGCGGAAUGCGUGGUGUAGCGGUGAAAUGCGUAGAUAUUAGGAGGAACACCAGUGGCGAAGGCGGCCUGCUGGACAGAAACUGACGUUGAGGCUCGAAAGCGUGGGGAGCAAACAGGAUUAGAUACCCGUGUAGUC